ensembl:lncRNA
CUUGGGCAGGCUGGGACUGGCCAGGACACCACAGGGUUGCCAGGUGACAGACAACAGCGUGCCGAGCAGCUCCGGGGUGCACUGUGCCUCCUCCCAGGGAGGUUCCUCUCCGUGCCCCCCGGCCAUCACAGCGCAGGCAGCUGAGCCCGGCUGCAUCCCGCUUGGGACGUUCACUCUGAAGCGUAAUGAGGACCUUGAGCCUUCUGGAGCAGAGCUCUGCAACCCGGGGCACCCCAUCCCUGUCCCCCCCCCAGCAGCGCAGUGCUGGGACGUAUGGCAGAGCCUGCAGUGCCUCUCCUGACACUGUCGAUGUCCGUGGGACGGCCGUGACUCCCGCUGAGGGCAGAGCUCUGGCUGCAGAUCCCAGCUUGGGAGGCUCCAGAUUUGCUGCUCCCCACGCAAGGAUGGUGGAACGCGGAGCGUGGAGCUGCUGGGGGCCACAGUGGGGCAGCAGGAGCAGCUCCAGCUCUGUGUGCACCGAGGAUGUGGCUGCCAGGUGUUGGGAGGGCACAGUGGGGACCUCCGAGGAGGAGGAGGAGGAGGAGGAUGGCAGCGGGCAGGAUGGGGCCCCGCUCCUGUGGCAGUGCCCCUGGCAGGACAUGUCCCCAGGGCUGAUGAGGAGGGGGAGUCUGGAGUCGCUGGGAGCCAGGAUAUCCAGGCUGAGCCAGAGUGGGGCUGUGACCCCCUGCCCGGCCCCCUCCGGGCACCCAGCGCAGGGCAGGGGGGAUGCAUCCCACUGGGGCUCAAGCUCCAGGGCAAAGCCCUCAGUCACCACUGUGCAUGGUGGGGAUGGGGACGCUGGACAUCUCCGGAGACCCUCAGGCAGCUCAGCCAGCAGGAGCAGGGCCAGGGCCAUGGGACACUGCAGAUGGCAGGAGCCACCAGCACGCCGGGGGUGGCAUGGAGGGGACGUCACCCUCACUGCAGAGAAGGAAGGAGAUGGCGACGGGCGGAGGAGAGCUCUCUGCACCAAAGCAGCAGUGGGACCCACCAGGAGAUGCAGCCCCUGGGCAGAGGGGCAGCACGAGGUGUCCUGCCCAGGGCAUGCAGCCAAGCCCCGGUGGCAGCGUUGGAAGCAGAAGGCCAUCCUGUCCCAUAGGCUGGCAGCGCUGCGCCGGGCCCUGAGGAGCAGCCAGGAGGGGAUGCAGGAGCCAGGAGCUGGAGCUCAGGGCAUGCAGAGCGAUGGGGAUGGGGCCAGGGCACGUGCGUGGGAUUGUGUGGAUGUGGAGGAGGUGCAGGGGCAGAAGGGCUGUGCUGAACGCCCAGGGAAGGUGAGGAGGAAAACGUUGGAUCUCAGAGAAGAGAAGAGGGAGCUGCAGGAGAGGCUCUGUGGGUUGGAGCUCCAGAUGCUCUCCAUGCUGCGGCAGAGGCAGGAGGCCCUGGGGCAGCUGCGGGCAGUGCUGCAGAAGGAGAGGAUGGCCACACUCAGGCAGCUGCAGGAGAGCCUGGAGAAGGUGAAUGGGACCAUCUGUGUCUGUCAGAACUGUCACCCAGAGGAGCUGGCAGCCCCAGGAGCCCUGAAGGAGCCACUGACCCCAGAGAGAGCCCUGCGGGAGGCAGCGACGUGUGUGUGGGAUCCAGCCCGGCCACCAUCUCCUUCCCCUUCUACACCUGGGUUGAGCCAUGCCACAGGUGCACAGAGAAGGGGUGAGCACCUGUGCCACCGCUCAGCCUCUUCCCUGCCCCCAAGCACUGUGCCCGGCCUCCAGCAGCAGCAGCAGCACACGGCGCUGGGGAUCCUGCACCACAUCCAGCGCUGCCUGCGGGAGCUGCAAGUAGAGGACCUCGGUGUGCUGGGAGCAGAGCUGGGCACCACAGCAAAUGAGGAGAGGUUCCUGAUGCCACCUCUUGACAUUCCUCCAAGCCCCAACAGGAACAAGCUCGCUGCUGCGACCAGGACUCGAGAUGAAGCAUGGAGGUGGUGAUGCAUCCCUCUACCUCCCUAUGCAUACCCAGGUCGACCAGUUGUGAAGCUGCUGAACGGGUCCCACGGAAUUUCCCAUGUAGAAGCUUCUCUUAGGUCCUGGCUGGGCUCCUUCCAAGGGCUGGGGACCGCGGGACAGCAUUUUGGGUGCGAUGGGUGAGGUCACGUGCCUCCACCAGGCUGCUGUCCAAGGUCCUGCCGGGAGAACCUGGAUUCCCUACCAGCAUCUUUGCUCCUCACACUCAUUUAGGAGCUUGGAAUGGAGAGGAGAAUGCCCAAGGAGAGUUUCUCUGCAUGCGAGGGGGGAAAUGAGAAUUUCAUGCAGUACUGAUUGCUGCACUUCCUUGCUGGAGGAGGCAGGGAGUGAAAAUGGAAAUCUUUGUCUGCUUUCUUCCCAAUCAAAAUAAAAAUGUUCCUCAUUAUAUUUUUCUGGACUGGGGAGAUUUCUGAAUUUACUUCUGAUGCACAGCUCUGUUUGUAA